rnacentral:rRNA from 1 species
CCUACGGGAGGCAGCAGUGGGGAAUAUUGGACAAUGGGCGAAAGCCUGAUCCAGCCAUGCCGCGUGUGUGAAGAAGGCCUUCGAGUUGUAAAGCACUUUCAGUGGGGAAGAAAGCCUUGGGGCUAAUACCCUCGAGGAAGGACAUCACCCACAGAAGAAGCACCGGCUAACUCCGUGCCAGCAGCCGCGGUAAUACGGAGGGUGCGAGCGUUAAUCGGAAUUACUGGGCGUAAAGCGCGCGUAGGCGGUCUGAUAAGCCGGUUGUGAAAGCCCCGGGCUCAACCUGGGAACGGCAUCCGGAACUGUCAGGCUAGAGUGCAGGAGAGGAAGGUAGAAUUCCCGGUGUAGCGGUGAAAUGCGUAGAGAUCGGGAGGAAUACCAGUGGCGAAGGCGGCCUUCUGGACUGACACUGACGCUGAGGUGCGAAAGCGUGGGUAGCAAACAGGAUUAGAUACCCGUGUAGUC